CCUACGGGUGGCAGCAGUGGGGAGUAUUGGACAAUGGGGGCAACCCUGAUCCAGCCAUGCCGCGUGUGUGAAGAAGGCCCUCGGGUUGUAAAGCACUUUCAGUGAGGAAGAACGCCUGGUGGUUAAUACCCAUCAGGAAAGACAUCACUCACAGAAGAAGCACCGGCUAACUCCGUGCCAGCAGCCGCGGUAAUACGGAGGGUGCGAGCGUUAAUCGGAAUUACUGGGCGUAAAGCGCGCGUAGGUGGCUUGAUAAGCCGGUUGUGAAAGCCCCGGGCUCAACCUGGGAACGGCAUCCGGAACUGUCAAGCUAGAGUGCAGGAGAGGAAGGUAGAAUUCCCGGUGUAGCGGUGAAAUGCGUAGAGAUCGGGAGGAAUACCAGUGGCGAAGGCGGCCUUCUGGACUGACACUGACACUGAGGUGCGAAAGCGUGGGUAGCAAACAGGAUUAGAUACCCUAGUAGUC
rnacentral:rRNA from 1 species